AUUGAACGCUGGCGGCAGGCUUAACACAUGCAAGUCGAACGAGUGGCGGACGGGUGAGUAAUGCUUGGGAAUCUAGCUUAUGGAGGGGGAUAACUACGGGAAACUGUAGCUAAUACCGCUUACCAUAGGAUGAGCCCAAGUGGGAUUAGGUAGUUGGUGGUGAAAAGGCUCACCAAGCCGACGAUCUCUAGCUGGUCUGAGAGGAUGACGAGCCAAACUGGGACUGAGACAGUGCCCAGACUCCUACGGAAGGCCGCAGUGGGGAAUAUUGCGCAAUGGGGGCACCCUGACGCAGCCAUGACGCGUGAAUGAAGAAGGCCUUCGGGUUUUAAAGUUCUUUCGGUAGCGAGGCGUUAACUACAGAAGAAGCACCGGCUAACUCCGUGCCAGCAGACGCGGUAAUUC
rnacentral:rRNA from 1 species